UACGUAGGGUGCAAGCGUUAAUCGGAAUUACUGGGCGUAAAGCGUGCGCAGGCGGUUUUGUAAGUUUGUCGUGAAAGCCCCGGGCUCAACCUGGGAAUUGCGAUGAAGACUGCAAGGCUAGAGUGUGUCAGAGGGGGGUAGAAUUCCACGUGUAGCAGUGAAAUGCGUAGAUAUGUGGAGGAACACCGAUGGCGAAGGCAGCCCCCUGGGAUAACACUGACGCUCAUGCACGAA
rnacentral:rRNA from 1 species